rnacentral:rRNA from 1 species
AUGGAGAGUUUGAUCCUGGCUCAGGACGAACGCUGGCGGCGUGCCUAACACAUGCAAGUCGAGCGAUUGAGAGGUGAGAGGUGAGAGGUUAGAAGUGAGAUUAAGAAGGCUUUGGCAAAGCCAAAGCCAACAAUAAAUCUCACAUCUCGCUUCUCACAUCUCACCUCUCAAUAGCGGCGGACGGGUGAGUAACGCGUGGAUAACCUGCCCAUUAGACCGGGAUAACGCCGGGAAACUGGCGCUAAUAC